CCAAGCGGUUGGAGGAAGUCAAUGGGAAACAAAAAAUUAGGGCGAAGCCGUGUCUGAACAACCUGCUGUGUGUCUUGCCAUGACCAGCAAGGUGAAGAGGAGCCCUGAGAAGUUUUAGUAGAGGAGUGACAUGACUUCGUUCGAUUUUUACAACUUUCAUCAAGAUACAUGUUCCUAACUACAAGGAGCCCCACCUACUUGGUUCUGACAUAUCACUGGGUUCUAUGAAGCACAAUUUUAAAAACACUAUAUUAAAUGACUUCUCUAGGCCUUUAAACCUAAACAGUCUAUGGUUAAAAGAUCAGUGAGAGAAAUAUAAAAUUGUACUUGUGCCAGGUUCACAAGUCUCUCUUUCUUCUCUGUCCCAAUCCUCCCCUCAUUCACACUCAGAUAACUGUGUGCAUGGCAAGCCUGAAUGUUAGGAAUAUAAGGCCAUACCAAGGAAUCAAUGUCACAUAUUCAGACAAAAUACAUGGGAAGGAGGAAGUAAAUACCCUCUUGAGGGCUGUCAUUGAACCAUCCAAACUAAAAAGAAACAAUACAAGUCACAGCCUGAUUAUUCUGCAGUGGCCUCAUCCAGGCCCUUUCGCCAUCCUCUGUCUACCUGCUCACUGGCUAUUAAUGAUUUCAUUGCCCACUCACCCUCCCUUCAUAGGCACACAGGUCCAGAAAAGAAGGAAACCCCCAAAGAAGUUAGCUAUGACAACAAAGGAGAAGAAAAUUAGCUAAUGGCUGAAAUAGAGUUUAACAUUAUCUGUUUAUUUCAACUUUACUUCAUCAAAGCACUUACCAUUUUUUCCUAAUUUAUUCUUAUACCCAUUUAAACAUAUAAUUAUUUAAUUUAAUUUAAUUUGUGGCCAGAAGAAGUGACUUGUGGAGAUAUACACUCCCUGCCCUCAGUUCAGAGCCUUUUGCCAUCACACUACUUUCAUUCCAUCAUGGGUUUUCUAAGAUGAAAUGUUUCAUAACACUAAGAGAGAGAAACAUUUGUUUUUAGUAGGAAAAGGUUUGUUUUUAAAAUAAAUGGUGUUCAGGAAUAGCUUUCACCAGUGUUCACAGUCCUUAUGAUAUAAUAGCAGGUCCUAUGGUGAGAAAAAUUUGCAAACACUUUGUAAAAACACUGAGAAAUGACUGUGUCUCAACAGCCAAAUGGGUUUCUGAACAAAAACUAAAUUAAAUCCAUUAUAAAAAGCUUUUCAAUGGACUACAUCUAAAUCCCACUGAUUUCUUAAUCUUUCUAGACUUUAAUAUAAUGCACCCAAUACUACCUAGAUUUAGAAUAUUUAGGAUAUCUGGAAGUAAAUCUCUAAAUCUUAAAAUUGUCUACUAGAUUAACUACAAAUACUACACACAUAUAAUCACAUGAAAGGCAACAGUGCAAGUGAAAGAACGCUGGACUUGGGAGCAUAAAGACUUGUUUCUGCUAUGUUUUCUACUCAUUGUAUGAAUUGCAGAAGCUUACUUAAACUUUGUGUCAAUAAAAUGAGUCAAUAAAAUGUCAUUAAAAUGAGGUUACCAGUAACUAAUAAAUAAUUUAAAUUCCCUAUAUAGGUUCACCAACCACCCCAGAUGCGUUUGGUAAUCUAUGGCAGAGACUGUGAGUUGCCUAUCCAAGAAUCCAUCUAUUCUCUUUUUCCUAAGUAAAACAACCUAGAUUUUUUUUUAAGCUGAACCCAUAGCUGCCUAGAAUAAAGGCUGUAUUUCCCAAAGUCCUUUGCAGCUAGGAGUAGCCAUCUGACUAUGUUCUGAUCUUUUCUUUCUUUCUUUGUGGUUUUUAUUUUUUUCUUGAGACAGAAUUUCACUCUUGUUGCCCAGGCUGGAGUGCAACGGCGCAGUCUCAGCUCACCACAACCUCCGCCUCCCGGGUUCAAGCGAUUCUCCAGCCUCAGCCUGCAGAGUAGCUGGGAUUAUGGGCAUGUGCCACCAUGCCCAGCUAAUUUUUUUUUUUUUUUGUAUUUUUAGUAGAGACGGGGUUUCUCUAUGUUGGUCAUGCUGGUCUUGAACUCCUGACCUCAGGUGAUCCGCCCGCCUCGGCCUCCCAAAGUGCUGGGAUUACAGGUGUGAGCCACUGUGCCUGGCCUUGUUCUGAUCUUUUCACUAUUUUUGGCUUUCCUGUCACUCUUCCUUUCCAAGGCAUACCUCUGUACCUGUGUUCCUGACCCCAUCGGGUCCUGUUUCCUUCACCAGUUCCUUCUUCUACCUGUCCCAUCAGCUAUUUCUUCUCUGUAGUAUCUUUAAUUGCUCUCUCGCUGCUAGCCACUUCCUCUCAGCCCAGAUCCUUAAGCAACACACCUGUUUUAAGUAAUCAGCCCCUCUUAUCUCCCCUUUCUUAUCAAACUUCUAGAGCCCAUAGUUUAUAUACCCACGUUCCACUUUCUCAUAGGCUUAGUGUCUCAAUCUAUUCCUUUCUCCUUUGCUCUACUGAAACUAAUCUGAAAAAUCACUCAAUGUCCUCUAAGGGCCAAACCCCAUGGCCUCUUUUCAGUCUUUACCCCAUUUGACAGCCUUACAGGUAUCUAGCAUGAUUAACCACCCUUUCUCCCCAAAAGCCUUCUUUCCUCCGCCUUUUGUAACAUCUUCCCUAGGUUCUUCUAAUGCCUCUCUGACCAAUCCUUCUCAGGUUCUUUUGCACCCUUAUCCUUUUUCAUUCACUCCAAUCAUCACUCCCUAGGAUACCAGCCCAGAUUCCCUCUUGUCUCAGCAAAUACACAAUCCAAGGUAGUUUAGUCUCUCUCAGAGCAUCAACUACUUUUAAACGUUUAUUUGGCUUUCUGAUUACAAAAGUAUUCAUGCUCACUGUAACAACUUUAAAAUAAUUUUUUAAAAGAAUUUAUUUUGUGCCUGGUCUAGGUUAGGAAUUCUCAUGUGUACUAUUUAUUUAAGUUUCAUCAUAAUCCUAUGAGAUAAACAUCUCCUAUUCCUUCUGCUACAGUGCUCCUUCCCCCACUUUAAACCAGGCUAAU
rnacentral:lncRNA from 10 species